AACGAACGCUGGCGGCAUGCCUAACACAUGCAAGUCGAACGAGACCUUCGGGUCUAGUGGCGCACGGGUGCGUAACGCGUGGGAACCUGCCCUUAGGUUCGGAAUAACUCUCCGACAGGGGUGCUAAUACCGGACAAUGUCUUCGGCCCAAAGAUUUAUCGCCUUUGGAUGGGCCCGCGUUGGAUUAGCUAGUUGGUAGGGUAAAAGCCUACCAAGGCGACGAUCCAUAGCUGGUCUGAGAGGAUGCUCAGCCACACUGGGACUGAGACACGGCCCAGACUCCUACGGGAGGCAGCAGUGGGGAAUAUUGGACAAUGGGCGAAAGCCUGAUCCAGCAAUGCCGCGUGAGUGAUGAAGGCCUUAGGGUUGUAAAGCUCUUGUACCCGUGAUGAUAAUGACAGUACCGGGAGAAUAAGCUCCGGCUAACUCCGUG
rnacentral:rRNA from 1 species